AUGCGAGUCAUUGUAGUAAUACAAGGCAGACGGCUCAGUAACGCGUAGUCAACCUAACCUAUGGACGGGAAUAACCUCGGGAAACUGAGUAUAAUGCCCGAUAGAACAUUAUGCCUGGAAUGGUUUAUGUUCCAAAUGAUUUAUCGCCAUAGGAUGGGACUGCGGCCUAUCAGUUUGUUGGUGAGGUAAUGGCCCACCAAGACUAUUACAGGUACGGGCCCUGAGAGGGGUAGCCCGGAGAUGGGUACUGAGACACGGACCCAGGCCCUAUGGGGCGCAGCAGGCGAGAAAACUUUGCAAUGUGCGAAAGCACGACAAGGUUAAUCCGAGUGGUUCCUGCUAAAGGAACCUUUUGUCAGUCGUAAAACCACUAAUGAAUAAGGGGUGGGCAAGUUCUGGUGUCAGCCGCCGCGGUAAAACCAGCACCUCAAGUGGUCAGGAUGAUUAUUGGGCCUAAAGCAUCCGUAGCCUGUUACAUAAGUUUUCGGUUAAAUCCAUAUGCUCAACAUAUGGGCUGCCGGGAAUACUGUGCAACUAGGGAGUGGGAGAGGUAGACGGUACUCGGUAGGAAGGGGUAAAAUCCUUUGAUCUAUUGAUGACCACCUGUGGCGAAGGCGGUCUACCAGAACACGUUCGACGGUGAGGGAUGAAAGCUGGGGGAGCAAACCGGAUUAGAUACCCGGGUAGUCCCAGCUGUAAACUAUGCAAACUCAGUGAUGCAUUGGCAUGUAGCUAAUGCAGUGCCGCAGGGAAGCCGUUAAGUUUGCCGCCUGG
rnacentral:rRNA from 1 species